UACGAAGGGGGCUAGCGUUGCUCGGAACCACUGGGCGUAAAGGGUGCGUAGGCGGGUUCUUAAGUCAGAGGUGAAAUCCUGGAGCUCAACUCCAGAACUGCCUUUGAUACUGAGAGUCUUGAGUAUGACAGAGGUGAGUGGAACUGCGAGUGUAGAGGUGAAAUUCGUAGAUAUCCGCAAGAACACCAGUGGCGAAGGCGGCUCACUGGGUCAUUACUGACGCUGAGGCACGAAAGCGUGGGGAGCAAACAGG
rnacentral:rRNA from 1 species